CGGGGAAUGUGGGGAGGGGAGAUGUUACGGAUACUGCGAUGGUGGUGGUGGCGAAGUGGACGACGUGACAUCCUCUAUAUCGAUGACCCACAAGGAUUGUCAAAGGCUACAAUACUUCAAGAACAUAUCUCAUUAGUGCCUGAUCAAGUGCAUUUGAGAAGGAGAAGAAAUGCUGGCCCUGCCUGUGACGCACAUCCCCAGAACUAAAAAAACAGCUAAAGUGAAGCAGUGUACCUUGAAGGGCAUGAAAAUCUAGUUGUUGUUGUUCACAAAAUACUGGAAAAGAGAUUGUGCCUGAAAAUGCAGUCAAGUAUUUUUUAAAUGAGGUUGGGUAAAUUUAGUCAGGGACCAAGGACACUAUGGAUCCUGUCUUCAAUUACAUCAAAAGUGGAAAGCA